rnacentral:tRNA from 1 species
GUCGGGAUAGCUGAGGUUGUCA